rnacentral:rRNA from 1 species
CUGAGUGAGGGCCUUCGGGCUCGACCUCCAACCCUUUGUGAACACAACUUGUUGCUUCGGGGGCGACCCUGCCGUUUCGACGGCGAGCGCCCCCGGAGGCCUUCAAACACUGCAUCUUUGCGUCGGAGUUUAAGUAAAUUAAACAAAACUUUCAACAACGGAUCUCUUGGUUCUGGCAUCGAUGAAGAACGCAGCGAAAUGCGAUAAGUAAUGUGAAUUGCAGAAUUCAGUGAAUCAUCGAAUCUUUGAACGCACAUUGCGCCCCUUGGUAUUCCGAGGGGCAUGCCUGUUCGAGCGUCAUUUCACCACUCAAGCCUCGCUUGGUAUUGGGCGCCGCGGUGUUCCGCGCGCCUCAAAGUCUCCGGCUGAGCUGUCCGUCUCUAAGCGUUGUGAUUUCAUUAAUCGCUUCGGAGCGCGGGCGGUCGCGGCCGUUAAAUCUUUCACAAGG